UUUUUUUUUUUUUUUUCUUAGCGGCCCCACGACAUAUGGGAUUCUGGGGCCAGGGAUCAGAUCUCAGCCGAAGUCUCCACCUAAGCAGAAGCUGCAGCAACAUUGGAUCUUUAACCCUCUGUGCCAGGGUGGGGAUCGAACCUGCGUCCCAGCGCUCCCAAGACACCGCAGAUCCCACUGCGCCACAUUGAGAACUCCUGUAUCUCACAUUUAACAUAGCAAACCCAAAACUGGUUUCACCCACCGUCUACUUGAGUUUUAUGUGUUGAACCAUUGAAAUCCUGACAGUAGUCUCUCAAUGCUAUUUGCUGAAGUUGAGGAAACUAAUGAUUCAUUCAUGUAAAACAUCUGAAGAGAUGGUUUUCUUUCAGUGCCCCUUGGACAAAUGAGGGACCAUCUAGAGCUUUUUAUUUUUUUAAAAGGUCAUUUGUGAAAUCAUAGAAUUAGAAAGGAUUUUAGAGGUCAUCCAGUGGUUAUCAUCUUGGCUCCCAGUAUCUCACAGGGCCUUCAAGGUUAUUAGUGGAGUUUUCAAAGUAAUUUUCAAAUUUCAAAAGCCCCAACAUGUUCUAUAUUUUCUUUUUUUGGCCCCACCCAUGGCAUGGGGAAGUUCCCAGGCCAAGGAUCGAACAUGCACCACAGCAGUGACAACACCAGAUCCUUAAUCCUUUGAGCCCCAGGGAACUCCUGUUUUUUUUCCUGGAAUAAUUGCUUUCUUUCUUUUUUUUUUUUUUUGGUCUUUUUAGGGCCACAUCUGCAGCAUAUGGAGGUUCCCACGCUAGGGGUCAAAGCGGAGCUGUAGCUGCCAGCCCACACCACAGCCACAGCCACAACCACGCCAUAUCUGAGCCAAGUCUGUGACCUACACCAUAACUCUUGGCAAUGCCAGAUCCUUAACCCAAUGAACCAGCCCAGGGAUAGAACUGCGUGCUCAUGGAUACUAGUCAGAUUUGUUUCCACUGAGCCACGACGGGAACUCCCUCCUGGAAUAAUUUCAUACAUGUAUUAUUAUCGUUAUUGUUAUUUCUACUAGUCUUUGGUUUGUUUAAAAGAUAGAGUUAGGCAGAUAACAAUUUUCCAGACUUUGAGGUUGGAGGCAAUAUAUAAGAAUGGUUGAGAAUUCCCGACGUUCAGUGGUUAACGAAUCUGACUAGGAACCAUGAGGUUUUGGGUUCAAUCCCCCGCUCUAGCCCAGUGGGUUAAGGAUUCGGUGUUGCCAUGGGCUGUGGUGUGGGUCGCUACAGCUCCGAUUAGACCCCUAGCCUGGGAACCUACAUAUGCUGCUGGUGCAGCCCUAGAAAAGACAAAAAGACAAAAAAAAAAAAAAGAAUGGUUGAAAGAGUAGGUCUAAUUCAGACAGACUUGGAAUCAAACCUUAGCUCAGCCUCUGACUGUGUGUGUACCCUCGAGUAAGUUUUCACCUCCUAAGCCUUGGUUACCUCAUCUGUGAAGUGGCAGUGAUGAUACCGUUCCCCCCUCAUAGAGUGGUUGUGGAGAUGGAAUGAGAAAAUACAUAUGCUGGGUUUAUUACAUUGCUUAACCCUUUACUAGCUUUAAAAUGUUUAUUGUGGGGUUUAUGGAGAAAAUACUGUAAAAUUCAUAUGGUUCAGAGAAUGUUGAGGGCUCCUGAUUUUAUUCAACCUUACUUCCAAUAUGGAUAUUCAUUCUCAGUAAUAUAUUCUCCAGCUUUGUUGAGGCAUAACUGACAAAUUAAAGUUGUGUGUAUUUAAGGUGUACAAUGGGAUGCUUUGUUACGUAUUGUGAAAUUAUGGCUACGAUCACCUAAUUAAUGUAUCCUUCACCUCAUAUAGCUGUGUUUUUUUCUGUGUGUUGUGAAUACUUAAUAUCUGCUCACUUAGAAACUUUCAAGUAUACAGUACAUUGUUAUUAACUAGUCACCAUUUGUACGUUAGGUCUCUGAAACUUAUCCAUCUUAAAACUGAAAGCUUGUACCCUUUGGCCAGCAUCUCCCUAUUUCCCCCACUCCCUGACCCUUCUAUUUUCUGUUUCUAUGAGGUCAACAUUUUUUGGAUUCCAUGUAUAAGUGAUAUCACCAUUUGUUUUUUUUCUUUCUAGCUUAUUUUACUUGGCAUAAUCUCCAGAUUCAUCCAUGUUGUCACAAAUAGCAGGACUUUGCUAUCGAUCGAUCGAUCGAUCUAUCUAUCUAUCUAUCUAUCUAUCUAUCUAUCUAUCUAUCUAUCAUCUAUCUAUCCGGCUUUGGCCGCACAGCAGCAUAUGGAGUUCCUGGGCUAGGGAUCAAAUCUGAGCUGCAGCUGCAACCUACACCUCAGCUUGUGACAGCACUGGAUCUUUAACCCAGUGAGCAAGGCCAGGGAUCAAACCCAUUCCUCAUGGACACUGGUUCUUUACCUGCUGAGCCACAACGGGAAUUCCCAAGUAUUUUUUAAAUGGUGGAAUAACUAAACCUUGUUCAUUAAAUAUCAAGUUCUAGACAGGUCGCCCACUAUCACCAUGGUCAGUCAGUCAUUUUGGGAACUUCUAAAUAAAGCAGUAAGACAAGAAAAUGAAAUAAUUGGUCCCAAAUGAUAUGAUUUUACACCUAAAAAAUGUACAGAAUUUUAACUUAAAACUACAAUAUUUAUUUAGAUAAUUAGGAAGGCCUGGGUGGGGCCUGAGACUCUGUACUUGUACAGAGCUUCCAACUGAUGUGAAUUCUGCUGGUCCCCUUGUGAUACUUAGAAGAGCUAGUGUAUUUACUGUGAAUUCAGUGGUCAAGAAUGUAGCUUUGAAGUCCUUCAAUUUGAAGGGGUUAUAUUCCCAGGUUUUCCUCUCUUAAUAUGCCUAAUUUUGGUCAAAUUACUUAACUCUGGAAGCUCCACCUCCAUCAUUUGUUAAAUGGAGAUAAUCAUGGGUAAUAAUGCAAGUUCCAUGCUUAGCAGAAAAUCAGCUCUGUUAAUUGUCGGCUCUAUUCAUACUUCUCACAGGUCAAACUACCUUUGGAUCGCCACUUGAUAACCAGUGGAAAUGCAGAGAGAUGUGGGAAAUAUCCCAAACUACUUAUCUUUUACAAAGCCAGUCAGAUAAAGUAACCUGUUGGAUGGGAGAAUCACUUUUCCCCCCACAUCCACCCAGGUGUCCAUAAACUGAGCUUUGAGGGGGAGAAGCUGUUGUAGAAGGAGCCAGGCAAGUCUGAGUCUGGGACCACCAGUCUUCCCAUGGCAGAUCCAGCCUCCUGACUGCUCCCCUGUUUCUUCUCUUCCCUCUACAGUCUGAUCUCUGUAUCAGAGUUGAGUGACUUCGUUACAACACAAGAGCCAUCCUAUAACUCUCCUUCUUAAAUUCUCUAGUGGUUUCCCAUCACACUUAUAAUGGAAUCCAAACUUCCAACCAUGCCCCUCAAGGUCCUGCAUGAUUUGCUGCUACCUUCCUCCCCUCUGACGUCGUCUCUCCCCAUCGCUCACUCCUCUCCAUCCCUCCAUCCACAUGGCUCUUCCUGUGAUUCUGUGAACCUGCCGAGUAGUCUCUGCCUCAGGAC
rnacentral:lncRNA from 1 species